rnacentral:rRNA from 1 species
GACGAACGCUGGCGGCGUGCUUAACACAUGCAAGUCGAACGGAAAGGCCCUGCUUUUGUGGGGUGCUCGAGUGGCGAACGGGUGAGUAACACGUGAGUAACCUGCCCUUGACUUUGGGAUAACUUCAGGAAACUGGGGCUAAUACCGGAUAGGAGCUCCUGCUGCAUGGUGGGGGGUGGAAAGUUUCGGCGGUUGGGGAUGGACUCGCGGCUUAUCAGCUUGUUGGUGGGGUAGUGGCUUACCAAGGCUUUGCCGGGUAGCCGGCCUGAGAGGGUGACCGGCCACAUUGGGACUGAGAUACGGACCAGACUCCUACGGGAGGCAGCAGUGGGGAAUAUUGCACAAUGGGCGGAAGCCUGAUGCAGCAACGCCGCGUGCGGGAUGACGGCCUUCGGGUUGUAAACCGCUUUCGCCUGUGACGAAGCGUGAGUGACGGUAAUGGGUAAAGAAGCACCGGCUAACUACGUG